rnacentral:rRNA from 1 species
UACGUAGGGUGCAAGCGUUGUCCGGAAUUAUUGGGCGUAAAGGGUGCGUAGGCGGCGCGGUAAGUCGGGUGUGAAAUUUCGGAGCUUAACUCCGAAACUGCAUUCGAUACUGCGGUGCUUGAGGACUGGAGAGGAGACUGGAAUUCAUGGUGUAGCAGUGAAAUGCGUAGAGAUCAUGAGGAAGACCAGUGGCGAAGGCGGGUCUCUGGACAGUUCCUGACACUGAGGCACGAAGGCCAGGGGAGCAAACGGG